UGGGGAAUAUUGGACAAUGGGCGAAAGCCUGAUCCAGCCAUGCCGCGUGUGUGAAGAAGGUCUUCGGAUUGUAAAGCACUUUAAGUUGGGAGGAAGGGCAGUAAGCGAAUACCUUGCUGUUUUGACGUUACCGACAGAAUAAGCACCGGCUAACUCUGUGCCAGCAGCCGCGGUAAUACAGAGGGUGCAAGCGUUAAUCGGAAUUACUGGGCGUAAAGCGAGCGUAGGUGGUUCGGUAAGUUGAAUGUGAAAGCCCCCGGCUCAACCUGGGAACUGCAUCCAAAACUGGCGAGCUAGAGUAGGGCAGAGGGUGGUGGAAUUUCCUGUGUAGCGGUGAAAUGCGUAGAUAUAGGAAGGAACACCAGUGGCGAAGGCGACCACCUGGGCUCAUACUAACACUGAGGUGCGAAAGCGUGGGGAGCAAACAGG
rnacentral:rRNA from 1 species